AUGAUUAAUUUUCAGGAGGACCGUUGGACGAUCAUCCUUAAGCAUAUUCUAGGCCUAUUGAAUCUCUUUAAACUGCUACACCACUGCUGUCCUGGAGAGGGAGAGAUAAUGAUGUGUGACUUUUAUCAUGUCAGCGUCUCUCUGGACGUCGAGAUAUGGCACGUGUUUCAGACAUCUUUGUUGCACACCUUCAGGCGAUCACUGACCGGCCUUAGUCUGUUUUACGGAGUUAAUGAACAUAGCUUUUUGUCUAAACUCUUUUAAAGGUUCUUUUUUGGCUUUAUGGUUCAUAAAGAGCAUUUAACAUCCAUGGAAUCUUUUCAUUGCAAAAAAAAAAAAAAAGGUUCAUCAUUAAAUUGUUCUUCACAUUAGGAAAAUGGUUCUUUAAAAAAAAAAAAAAUCUUCUAUGGCAUCAUUUCCAUUUGGAACCUUUAUUUUUAGGAGUUUCUAAGAUUAUUGAACUUUACUUUAGGUCUAAUAUGUCCACUAUAUUACUCAAACUUGCUCAUGUAAGUUGUGUGAGGGGGAUGAGCGGUUAGCAUGCUAGUUUUGCUGCAGUCGUAGGCCUAGAGAGAGAUCUAGCCUCCUUCAAAAAAUGAGGUCAGCUGAGAGGUGGAAGCUCGUUGAAUUCCUGCUCUCUGUCAGUUAGGUAAUCCAUUCAGCUGGUAGUGAGAGGUAGGGAUGGGAUGAAUGAGAAAGGGAGAGGUGAAUGGGGCUGCAGCUAAACUCUUCUGGAGGACAGCUGGCUCUGUCAGUCCAGAGCGCAGAGCGGGAGCUGCAAUUUUACACAGAUGGGUUUUCAGUUAGGGUUAGAACUUCCAGUCUGAGAUCUGAAGAUCAACCUCAGUGAUCUGUUAGAGAAUAGAUGUGUUUUGUCUCUUUAUGUCUCUGAUUGUAUUGCUGUAAGUAUUCCAAGCCAAAUUUGCAUUAGUAACAGUCAAACGACUGCCAAAAACUCCACAGAAUGAAAAUGAUAUGUGUUUCUUCAACUGUAGGCACUUUUGGCUCUGUGCAGAUUUAGGAAAUGAAAUUAAAAACAUGUUUUUCACACUCUGAGUAGUUUAUGAAAUUUGUCUACUAACAACAUCAACUACAUUUUGAAAUGGAACUGACAGUGGUGGAAUAAACAAUAAGGAUAAAAUGGCUGCAACUUUUGUCUUGAUACGGCUAGAAUAUGG
rnacentral:lncRNA from 12 species